AACGAACGCUGGCGGCAGGCUUAACACAUGCAAGUCGAGCGCGUGUAGCAAUACACGAGCGGCGCACGGGUGAGUAACGCGUGGAUAUCUGCCUUUUGGUUCGGAAUAACCCCGGGAAACUGGGGCUAAUACCGAAUGGUUCCUACGGGAUAAAGAUUUAUCGCCAAAAGAUGAGUCCGCGUCCGAUUAGCUAGUUGGUGAGGUAACGGCUCACCAAGGCGACGAUCGGUAGCUGGUCUGAGAGGACGAUCAGCCACACUGGGACUGAGACACGGCCCAGACUCCUACGGGAGGCAGCAGUGGGGAAUAUUGGACAAUGGGGGCAACCCUGAUCCAGCCAUGCCGCGUGAGUGAUGAAGGCCUUCGGAUUGUAAAGCUCUUUUGGCGGGGACGAUGAUGACGGUACCCGCA
rnacentral:rRNA from 1 species